GCUCCCGUAGCUCAGUUGGAUAGAGCAGGGCUUUCCUAAAGCCAAGGUCGCAAGUUCGAUUCUUGCCGGGAGCGCCA
rnacentral:tRNA from 1 species